ACGGAAGGCAGCAGUGGGGAAUAUUGCACAAUGGGCGAAAGCCUGAUGCAGCGACGCCGCGUGAGUGAAGAAGUAUCUCGGUAUGUAAAGCUCUAUCAGCAGGGAAGAAAAUGACGGUACCUGACUAAGAAGCCCCGGCUAACUACGUGCCAGCAGCCGCGGUAAUACGUAGGGGGCAAGCGUUAUCCGGAUUUACUGGGUGUAAAGGGAGCGUAGACGGUUUGGCAAGUCUGAAGUGAAAUGCGGGGGCUCAACUCCUGAACUGCUUUGGAAACUGUCGAACUAGAGUGCAGGAGAGGUAAGUGGAAUUCCUAGUGUAGCGGUGAAAUGCGUAGAUAUUAGGAGGAACACCAGUGGCGAAGGCGGCUUACUGGACUGUAACUGACGUUGAGGCUCGAAAGCGUGGGGAGUAAACAGGAUUAGAUACCCUGGUA
rnacentral:rRNA from 1 species